GUUUGCUAUGCAGGCAGUGAUCUGUGGAAAGCAACACAAGAAGCAGGGAAUUAAUCAGGAGGUAACUGAAAGAAUCCAGAUAAGAGAUGAUGGUGAUUUAAAUUGUGGAUUUAAUAGUAGUGAUAGAGGGUUCCGAUUUCAGGAUGUAUUUUAGAAUUGUGGGAUUGCUGCUAAUUUGCAUAUGGGGAAUGAAGGGAAAAAAGGAUUGGUGAAUGAACCUCAAAUUUUCAGAGUGAGCUAUCUAUCUGGUGGAUAGUGAUAGAAUUUGCUAAGGAGAGGGGCCAUGAAGAGUUUUGUUGAGAACAUCGUGUCUGAGAUUCCUGGCUGACAGCCAAAAUCACUUUCCACUUCUUCCUUAGUAACCAAUCCCCAUUUUUAUUCCAGCUAAAAGACUACAUUUCCCAGCCUCCUUCUGUUGCUACGUGAGGUUAUAUUGCUAAAUUCUAGCCAAUAAGAAACAAAAUGGAAGUAUUGUACAGGACUUCUAGGACAACUAAAAGAGAGAGAACUCAACUGGGAGCUAAACUUUUUGCCCUAUGCCCCAUCUUUCUUCCAGCUGUCUGGAAUGAGGAAGAUGGCUUGGAGCUCCAACAUCCACUUUGAGGAUAGAACUCGUGCUGAGAAUGGCAGAUUGAAGAGUUUAAAUGGAGCCUAAGUUGCUGGUCAUUUCAGGAAGCAGAUGUACCGGUGCUAGACCGUCUAUCUCUGGACUUCUUUUAAGUGGAAUAAAUUACUGUGUGUUUACAGUUAUUUUGAGUCCUGACACAAAGAUAGAUUGAUAUAUCUAUUAAAUAUCCCAGUUAGGUAGAACCCCCAUUUUAAAUAUGAAAAAAUUAGUGUCAGAGAAGUUACUUGCCAAAGUCAAACAACUUAAGAUAGAGACAAGA
rnacentral:lncRNA from 10 species